GGAGGUAUAGCUCAGCAGGUAGAGCGGCGGACUGAAAAUCCGUGUGCACAGGUUCGAUUCCUGUUACCUCCA
rnacentral:tRNA from 1 species